CUCCUGACAACGUUCCACGCCCCCCCCCAGCAGCCAACCACGUCACCCCCUGAUGGGUCCCGGCCAGAGAGCUCCUGGAGGUCACGUGCUCUCUCCUCCACAACAGGGGCCUGGGGACCUUUCCAGCCACGUUGUUAGGCUCUUCAGGGUGACCUGAGGCCCCCAGGCCACAAAGAUGCUAUUGGCCAUGGCAUUGCAGGGCCUAGAGAUGCCCUUCCUCCACCCCCCCCCCACCCUACCCUGCACUGUGGCUGUGGCUCCUUCCCACCCACCUGGUAAAAUCCGGCCCCAACCAGCCCCUGCAGGAAACCCACAGGCUCACAGGCAGGAAACCCGGAAAAUCCACGCCCUCUGGCUUUGCUAGCCUCAACCGGCCUCCCUGCUGACCCACGCCACCCUCUGCCGUGGGAUGUACGGGUGUUUUCCCCUGAUCCUGGUGACGGCCGUCUCCACGCUGGGUCCCUGGCCUGCGCCCGCUUCCAGACCACAGCAGCGACCUCCCUCCGUUGCACAGGAAGCCCAAGCAGGCAGGAGGUGGAAGCUGUGCCUGUCUGUCAGAGCAGGCACGACACGGUCCCCUGGAAGGGGACAGGAGGCAGCGAGGACCCGGAAGGGACCCCGGAUAUCACGUCUCAAUACACAGAUGAAGACAGGGAGGCUCGGAGUGACAGAGCCACCAGGGUCCCCCGGAGGGAGCCCGAGGCCCCACGCUAGUGUGCAACAGGCACUGAGCCGGCUAACCCCACGCGGCCCUGGGGACCGCAUUCCUAGUAGCCCACUUUACAGACGAGGAGAGUGAGUCGCCACAGGGCUGAGCACCUUCACCACGUCCCCGAGGCCGCAGAGGCAGAGCUGAGCUGCGACCUGGGACGAGGUUCCUCCCGAGGCUGGUGGUGUGGCCUCCGGCUCGCCACACGAGCCCAGGGCUGGGCCAGGACUCCAACCCGCCAGCUCCUGAUGCCCCCACUCAGCCCCCUCCCUGGCACGGAGCCGCUGUCCGGGCUGGUCAGGCCGGCUGCCCACGGGGCACGGGAGGGCAAAGGCUCGUGGAGCGGGCCCCGGGUGUUCGAGAAGGCUCUGUGCCAGACCUGCCGGCCGGGGGGCCGGGCAAGCCGCUCUCACGCGCAGAGCUGGUGCCCCUGCCCGGUGACUUCGGGGGAGCCCGGGGCAGCUGGAGGCUGGGCUUACGAGGUGCUGGCAGGGGUUAAAAGCGGGUGCUGAGAACCUAAGCGUGUUGGAGCCUGACAUGAGACACCAGCGGGGGAGGGGGGAAGAAGACACCACUGGCCGGGGGCAUUGUUCUCAGGAGGCUUUGAUCCAGGACUCCCACUGUCUCAGGUUAAGGAAGUUUGGGGCUCCACAUUCUUGAGGUUUCUCAGCUAUGCCCUCAGAGCGGCUGGCUGGGUUCGCUCCACUCGCCGUUCCCUGGGGAACCUUUCUCGUUUUUGCAAAUAGCUCCCGCAAAGCAUGAUGCCGAGCUCACCCGGCUGUGUGUGGGCUUUCUCCCAUUACUGUGGGUUCCUUGUAACCGCCCCCCCAAAAAAAAGAUAUGUCCAAGUCCUAGCCCCCAGCACCCGUGGAUGUGCCCCGAUUCGGAAAUAAGAAGAUGUAAUCGAGGUACGAUGAGGCCAGUCUGGACGAGGCUGGGCCCCAAAUCCAGGGACUGGUGAUCUGGAAGAAAAGAGGCACAAAGAGACAUACCAGGAGACAGAGACUGAGACUGGAGAGACAUCUGCAAGCAAAGAAUCCCGAGGCAGCAGCCAAGACAGAGGCCGGGAUUCUCAGGAUCCACAGAAGUCCAUGGGGGAGGGGAAGAAACAAACAAAAAAAAAAGAGGUUAGAGAGGGAGAGAGCCAAAGCAUAAGAGACUCUUAAAAACUGAGAACAUGGGGCGCCUGGGUGGCGCAGUCGGUUAAGCGUCCGACUUCAGCCAGGUCACGAUCUCGCGGUCCAUGAGUUCGAGACCCGCAUCAGGCUCUGGGCUGAUGGCUUGGAGCCUGGAGCCUGUUUCCGAUUCUGUGUCUCCCUCUCUCUCUGCCCCUCCCCCGUUCAUGCUCUGUCUCUCUCUGUCCCCAAAAUAAAUAAACGUUGAAAAAAAAAUUUUAAAAACUG
ensembl:lncRNA